GUUGCACACAAAACUUUCUGACACAUUGGACGUCUUGGUGUACUAGUAGUUAAUACAGGAGAUUGGCGCUUGCAAUUCCUAGUCUUGGCUACAGGUUGUGUUUCUGUUGGGAAGAUUGGGGUAUCUGCAGUUUUUCGCAUCUAUCAAUAGACUUUUAUCCCUCUGAAGGGGCCGCAAACAGUAGAAGAAGAAUGGGUGACUGAGCGGCUGGAGCCGUUUAACUAUGGAACAUUCUAUUUCCUCUUGUCAUCUGGGUAAGACCCAAUUGAUGCUACAUAAUGCAUCCAUAAGCUCCAACAGAAUCGUGGAACAAAGAGGAAGAACAGAAGGGGAUGAUUCACUUAGUGAACUCUUCCAAGCUGUCCAAAAACGCUAUUGUGAGUCGAUGCCUCAUACCGUGAUCAACUAUCACUAAGAAUGCAAGGUGGUAACCUUGCCCUUUAACGAGCGAGCCGAGCGCCGGCAUAGAUAGAUCGUGUACUGUUAUGCAAACAGCGUGAUCAUGGUCAUAACCCAGGACGAACUGUCUGUUACGGUCGUGCAGAACUAAAACAGAGCGAUCACUGGUAUGUCAUAGCCUUCAUAGACAUAGAAAUUUUUGCUACACGCAUAGAAAAAACUCGAUGGGUCUUGGAAGACGUGUUGGGAGGAUAGGCCCAUCGGAUGCACUUGACGAUCCAGUAGCUUUUCAUAAUUUUGGCUAGCUUGUCUGGGUCGUCCUUGUAAUGAACCAGUAACAUGACAGCGAGAUCAUCUCGUUGACGACGCGUUACUUCACAAAGCAGAGGAUGGUCCGCCUCCGAUACAUUUGCCUGAUUUUUAUGCAUUACAUUGCUGAUUUUCUUGACUAUUUUUAUUUACGAUAUUGUUACCUUAAAUCCUAGGGCAGACACGGCUGCUUCGAAGCGAAAGAGUCCAAGAGUCUCGUCAGCAAGAACUUGCUGUGCUCCUGACACAGUGACCAAUGCUUCGUGAUAUGAUGGUAUGGUCGUAAUAUGCCAUCUGGUAAUUCUUCAGCUUUCUCACUCAAUCGACAAUUAUGGAUGACCUGUGAAUUAAAACAAUAGAUUGAAUAUCUUGAACAAUUUUAAAGAAAAAAUAUUUAAUUACCUAAAGCAGGUGGCCGUGCCAAUUCCAAUCCAAACAUUUCUACCCUGAAGGCGAGAUGGUAAUAGUCGCAAUUUUCCGCCAAAGCUAAUUUGAUGACAAGCAGGAUUCGUCUUCAUUUUCUUGCCAUUCUGCGUGAUGAC